AAAACAUAAUGUCUGCACUAUACGAAAUUGUCAUUUAACUCAUAAGAAAGAUUAGCUGUUCAUUUCAUUUUAUUAUAAAGUGUCAUUUCUAUUAAUAAGUUGUGCUGUUCAACCGAAAAUUUUGCUCGUAUAGGUAGGGAACCUGUGCCAGAAAGAUUCGUUGAAAUACAUACAUGGAUACUUUUCUACUCUAACUUUUUUGUAAACCAGUUUCAAGGAGCCAAAUGACGAAAUAAUACGUUUCUAUACUCUCAUUCAAAUCAAUCAAAAAUGCAUUUCUUGAACCAAUCACCAAUCAAAUGGUUUUCAAAUUUUUUAAUGCUCCUAAUCUACUUACGAUCAGUAAAAAAUGUUGAAUUGCCAUCUACCCAAGUUAAAGUAUUCUCUGAUGACGAUAGCUCAGCACAAUUUAAUAAUCUGGCUAUUCGCUAUUCCGAAUUUGAAUGUGGGCAUGAUUCAAUUUUUAUUGGAGCUGUCAAUCGUUUAUAUCAAUUAUCACUCGAUCUAGAACUAUUGGCAAAUAUUACAACCGGGCCAUUCCUUACACAUAAUAACGAAUGGAUGAAAAAUUAUAAUAAAAUUUUGGUGAUAAACGAUGAAGACGACAGUUUGAUAACUUGUGGAACCGUAUCAAUGUGCACCAUUUACAAUUUACACCGAAACGAUAUCAUUUGCGAAUCAAAUUCGAGAAAAGUAAUUCAACCAGUUGUGACAAAUGACGAAAAUGCAUCAACUGUAGCUUUCAUGGCAACGACUCAUAUAUAUGUGCCUCUAUUCCGCGAAGAUGCAUUAAAGAAGCGACUUCGGAUUUUUCAAUCGAAUCUUGGUUAUUUUUCAAACGGAACUGAGCAACUGGAAGUACCAGCUAUGGCUGUAAGAAAUAUCAAUACUCUUGAGGCAUACCAAUCCUUUUUUUUCUCUGAAUUUUUUCGCAAUGACUACAUCGUCGAAUAUGUUUAUGGAUUUCCAUCUGGGAAAAACAAAAUGUACCUUUUAACAAUUCAACAAAAUUCUAGUACAACGCGACCAUCUCCGUACAUUUCAAAAUUGAUUAAAACAUGUGCUCAAGGUUCUCUUUUAGGGGGCUACGUGGAGAUGCCAAUUAGGUGCACUGUAAAAGGAAACCUGCGUUAUAAUUUGCUACAAGCCGCAUAUGUUGGUAAAGCUGGUACCAAGCUGGCCGAGUCGAUGAAUAUUCAUCACGAUGACGACGUUCUGUUCGCGAUAUUCUCUCCGAGCCGAGACUUUUACUCAAAAAAACCUCUUGAGCGAAGUGCUCUAUGCAUUUAUUCGUUAAAAGCCGUUGACCAGAAAGUUGAUGAAAAUGUUCAGAACUGUGCAAAAGGAAGUAAAAAAUUAGGGCUGCCGUUUUUAUUUUCUGCAGCAAUAUGCUUCCGAUUAAUAGAAGAGCUACCGUGCACUGAUUACUGCCAACAAUACGCAAACGGGCCUGUCGAUGGAAGACUGCCUUUAAAAAUGCAUGCUGCAUUAACUUUCGAAACACGUAUCACAGCAAUUGCAGUAAGGUCCAGCAAAAACCGAACUGAUGUUUUCGUUGGUACGAGUACUGGCCAUUUGAAAACGAUCGCCGUGGAGAAUUUUACUUACGCGUAUGAACAUGGAGACGUUACUAUAGAUCAAGACUCUCCUGUUAAUAAAGAUAUGAUUUUUUCUUCGAAAGAAGAUUACUUGUUUGUAAUGACCAAACGUAAGCUCACCAAAGUUGAUUUACGCGCGACCUUUUUAGAACCUAAUACAGGUACUUAAAUUAGUGAAAAUAUUGUAAUCGUGGACUGAUACGUAGGAAAUAGGUAUAGGUACAAGUGAUAAGAUUGAUGUUGAAAAAAAAAUAAACACUUUUUCUGUAACUUCAA